GAUGAACGCUGGCGGCGUGCCUAAUACAUGCAAGUCGAGCGAACAGACGAGGAGCUUGCUCCUCUGACGUUAGCGGCGGACGGGUGAGUAACACGUGGAUAACCUACCUAUAAGACUGGGAUAACUUCGGGAAACCGGAGCUAAUACCGGAUAAUAUAUUGAACCGCAUGGUUCAAUAGUGAAAGACGGUUUUGCUGUCACUUAUAGAUGGAUCCGCGCCGCAUUAGCUAGUUGGUAAGGUAACGGCUUACCAAGGCGACGAUGCGUAGCCGACCUGAGAGGGUGAUCGGCCACACUGGAACUGAGACACGGUCCAGACUCCUACGGGCGGCAGCAGUAGGGAAUCCUCCGCAAUGGGCGAAAGCCUGACGGAGCAACGCCGCGUGAGUGAUGAAGGUCUUCGGAUCGUAAAACUCUGUUAUUAGGGAAGAACAAAUGUGUAAGUAACUAUGCACGUCUUGACGGUACCUAAUCAGAAAGCCACGGCUAACUACGUG
rnacentral:rRNA from 1 species